CAGCCGCCGCGGUAAUACAGAGGGUGCAAGCGUUAAUCGGAAUUACUGGGCGUAAAGCGCGCGUAGGUGGUUUGUUAAGUUGGAUGUGAAAUCCCCGGGCUCAACCUGGGAACUGCAUCCAAAACUGGCAAGCUAGAGUAUGGUAGAGGGUGGUGGAAUUUCCUGUGUAGCGGUGAAAUGCGUAGAUAUAGGAAGGAACACCAGUGGCGAAGGCGACCACCUGGACUGAUACUGACACUGAGGUGCGAAAGCGUGGGGAGCAAACAGGAUUAGAGACCCGAGUAGUCCCUGUCUUAUACAC
rnacentral:rRNA from 1 species